rnacentral:rRNA from 1 species
CUACAGAGGGUGCAAGCGUUAAUCGGAAUUACUGGGCGUAAAGCGCGCGAAGGCGGUUUAAUCAGUCGGAUGUGAAAGCCCCGGGCUCAACCUGGGAACUGCAUUCGAUACUGUUAAGCUAGAGUAUGGUAGAGGGAAGUGGAAUUCCAGGUGUAGCGGUGAAAUGCGUAGAUAUCUGGAGGAACAUCAGUGGCGAAGGCGACUUCCUGGACCAAUACUGACGCUGAGGUGCGAAAGCGUGGGGAGCAAACAGGAUUAGAAACCCUAGUAGUUC